UGACAAAGGGCUUUCCAAAACCAAAGUUAGU
rnacentral:piRNA from 1 species